CUGACACACGGUCCAGACUCCUACGGGAGGCAGCAGUGGGGAAUUUUGCACAAUGGGGGAAACCCUGAUGCAGCAACGCCGCGUGGAGGAUGAAGUCCCUUGGGAUGUAAACUCCUUUCGACCGGGACGAUAAUGACGGUACCGGUGGAAGAAGCCCCGGCUAACUCUGUGCCAGCAGCCGCGGUAAUACGGGGGGUGCAAGCGUUAUUCGGAAUCAUUGGGCGUAAAGGGCGCGUAGGCGGUUUGUUAAGUCAGAUGUGAAAGCCCGGGGCUCAACCCCGGAAGUGCAUUUGAUACUGGCGGACUUGAGUAUGGGAGAGGGAAGUGGAAUUCCUGGUGUAGAGGUGAAAUUCGUAGAUAUCAGGAGGAACACCGGUGGCGAAGGCGACUUCCUGGACCAAUACUGACGCUGAGGCGCGAAGGCGUGGGUAGCAAACAGGAUUAGAUACCCUGGUAGUCCACGCAGUAAACGGUGAUCACUAGGUGUAGCGGGUAUUGACCCCUGCUGUGCCGCAGUUAACGCAUUAAGUGAUCCGCCUGGGGAGUACGGCCGCAAGGUUAAAACUCAAAGGAAUUGACGGGGGCCCGCACAAGCGGUGGAGCAUGUGGUUUAAUUCGACGCAACGCGAAGAACCUUACCUGGGUUUGACAUCUCGGGGAUUUUUUGGAAACAAGAAAGUGCCCUUCGGGGAGCCCGAAGACAGGUGCUGCAUGGCUGUCGUCAGCUCGUGUCGUGAGAUGUUGGGUUAAGUCCCGCAACGAGCGCAACCCUUAUCUUUAGUUACCAUCACUUCGGGUGGGGACUCUAAAGAUACCGCCCCGGUCAACGGGGAGGAAGGUGGGGAUGACGUCAAGUCCUCAUGGCCUUAUGCCCAGGGCUACACACGUGCUACAAUGGGCGAUACAAAGGGUAGCGAGCCUGCGAAGGUGAGCCAAUCCCAAAAAGUCGUUCUUAGUUCGGAUUGGAGUCUGCAACUCGACUCCAUGAAGCUGGAAUCGCUAGUAAUCGCGGAUCAGCACGCCGCGGUGAAUACGUUCCCGGGCCUUGUACACACCGCCCGUCACACCAUGAGAGUUGGUUGUACCAGAAGUUGUUGGGCUAACCCGCAAGGGAGGCAGGCACCUAAGGUAUGGCUGAUGAUUGGGGUGAAGUCGUAACAAGGUAGCCGUUGGGGAACCAGC
rnacentral:rRNA from 1 species